rnacentral:rRNA from 1 species
UACGGAGGGUGCAAGCGUUAUCCGGAUUCACUGGGUUUAAAGGGUGCGUAGGUGGGCUAGUAAGUCCGUGGUGAAAUCUCUGAGCUUAACUCGGAAACUGCCGUGGAUACUAUUAGUCUUGAAUCUCGUGGAGGUAAGCGGAAUAUGUCAUGUAGCGGUGAAAUGCUUAGAUAUGACAUAGAACACCGAUAGCGAAGGCAGCUUGCUACACGAGUAUUGACACUGAGGCACGAAAGCGUGGUGAUCAAACAGG